UACGUAGGCAGCGAGCGUUGUUCGGAAUUACUGGGCGUAAAGAGUGUGUAGGCGGUGCUCUAAGUUCGGUGUGAAAUCUCCUGGCUCAACUGGGAGGGUGCGCCGAAUACUGAAUGACUUGGAGUGCGGGAGAGGUGAGUGGAAUUCCUGGUGUAGCGGUGAAAUGCGCAGAUAUCAGGAGGAACACCGGUGGCGAAGGCGGGUCUCUGGGCCGAUACUGACGCUGAGGAGCGAAAGCGUGGGGAGCGAACAGG
rnacentral:rRNA from 1 species